AAACACGUUUAUCAAGUCAAUAUUCUUACUUGUAGGGUGUCCAUGAUUUGACACAUAGAAUCGAGUUAUGCACUUUCCUAUGUUCUUCUUCUUCCGGCAUUUAGUUUUGAAAAGAGUCCUUUUUUUUUCUGUUGUGAAUGUGAAUGUGUCGUGUGUGAUCUAUUUUUGAGAUGACUUGCUUGUUUUGUAGCUUUGUCCUGAUGAUAACUAUUCUGAAAAUUCUUGUUCAUAGGUUUUGCAAAAGGCUUUAGAAGUAUGGGAUUACCAUAAUAAUCCCCUCAACUGCCCACUUGCUGAGCCAGCCCAAAUUGACCCUGAGCUGGAAAAUGCUUUCAUUUGUCAUCUGCAUGACCAUUGGUUUUGUAUCAGGAAAGUGAAUGGAGAAUGGUAGAAUUUCAACAGUCUUUAUACAGCCCCAGAGCACUUCUCUAAGUUUUAUCUCUCAGCCUAUCUGGACUCAUUAAAAGGAGCUGGCUGGAGCGUUUUCCUGGUACACUCUCCCCAGGACGGUAUAGGUGCAUGGAAGGAUUAAUGAAGGUGUGCUGAUCCUUGGUGUCUCCCAAGUAACUAUUCAGCUGAGCUCUUCAACUCUCCAAGAUGGCCAAUUAGCUGCCCAAGGCAAAUUAAAAGGUUUCACACCAGCCGAUUAUUCCUUUCACACCAAAGGCUAUUCGGUUUUGCUUGUUCACACUCAAGUGACCAUUCUACUUAGCUUGUUCAUACUUCAUGACCCGUGAUGUGCCCUAAGCAGCUCAUAAACUCCCAAGAACAUUCGGCUGAACCAAGCAGCAGAAUUAAGGUCAUUCAAGCAACUUGGCCGAUCCGAUUCCAUGCAUUUCAGCUCCAAAUUAUUCCAUUUUAUUUUCCAGCUGAAUUAAGGCAUCUAGAAGCUGUCCAUUGCGGUUCUCCAUGCACAAGAAACUUCAAGGAAACUUCCUAAGGAAUUCUGGAAUUUUUAGCUAACUAUUUAGUUACCUUAAGAGCCUAUUCGGCUAGCCUAUGUAUUGCCUAUAAAUUUCGGCUCAUUUCAGCUUGUAAAGGAAUUUUGUCAAAUUAAUAUAUGAAACUUUGUUUCUGUGAGGUUAA